rnacentral:rRNA from 1 species
GUGGGGAAUCUUCCACAAUGGACGAAAGUCUGAUGGAGCAACGCCGCGUGAGUGAAGAAGGGUUUCGGCUCGUAAAGCUCUGUUGUCGGGGACGAAUGUGCAGUAUUUGAAUAAAGUAUUGCAAUGACGGUACCUGACGAGGAAGCCACGGCUAACUACGUGCCAGCAGCCGCGGUAAUACGUAGGUGGCAAGCGUUGUCCGGAAUUAUUGGGCGUAAAGGGAGCGCAGGCGGGAAGGUAAGUCGGUCUUAAAAGUGCGGGGCUCAACCCCGUGAUGGGAUCGAAACUAUCUUUCUUGAGUGCAGGAGAGGAAAGUGGAAUUCCUAGUGUAGCGGUGAAAUGCGUAGAUAUUAGGAGGAACACCAGUGGCGAAGGCGACUUUCUGGACUGUAACUGACGCUGAGGCUCGAAAGCCAGGGGAGCGAACGGGAUUAGAUACCCCGGUAGUCC